UACGUAAGGGGCAAGCGUUAUCCGGAAUUAUUGGGCGUAAAGCGUCCGCAGGUGGCGCAAUAAGUCUGUCAUUAAAUACCGAUGCUCAACAUCGGUGCCGUGAUGGAAACUGUUGUGCUUGAGGAUGGGAGAGGUAUAUGGAAUUGCACAAGUAGGGGUAAAAUCCGUAGAUAUGUGCAGGAACACCAAAAGCGAAGGCAGUAUACUGGACCAUUCCUGACACUCAGGGACGAAAGCGUGGGGAUCAAAACGG
rnacentral:rRNA from 1 species